rnacentral:rRNA from 1 species
CUAAGAAUCUUCGGCAAUGGCCUAACGGCUGACCGAGCGACGCCGCGUGGACGAAGAAGGCCGCAAGGUUGUAAAGUCCUUUUCUUGACGAAGAAUAAGGCAGGGAGUGGAAAGCCCUGCUGAUGAUGUUAGUCGAGGAAGAAGCCCCGGCCAAUUACGUGCCAGCAGCCGCGGUAACACGUAUGGGGCGAGCGUUGUUCGGAAUUACUGGGCGUAAAGGGCGUGUAGGCGGUUCGGCAAGCCUGGUGUGAAAGUCUCCGGCCCAACCGGGGGAUUGCACUGGGAACUGCCGGGCUUGAGUUCUGGAGGGGGAGCUGGAAUUCCUGGUGUAGGGGUGAAAUCUGUAGAGAUCAGGAAGAACACCGGUGGCGAAGGCGGGCUCCUGGCCAGACACUGACGCUGAGGCGCGAAAGCGUGGGGAGCGAACAG